UUUCUCUGUUUUCUUAACCUCACAUCUCUUUGUCUCUCUGCCGUAUCACCCUCCCCCUCUCCUUCUCUCUUGCUGCGGAAAAAAAGGCUCUUUAAAGCUGAGUCUGUCUCUGUAAUCAUCUCUCCCUCUCGCUCUCUCUCGCGCUCUCCCUCUCCUCUCGCUCUCUCUGUCUCUCUCCCUCUCUCUCUCUCCCUCUCUCCCUCUCCCUCUCUCUCUCUCUCUCUCUCUCUCUCUCUCUCUCUCUCUCUCUCUCUCUCUCUCUCUCUCUCUCUCUCUCUCUCUCUCUCUCUCUUUUCUUCUUCGGACUUAAACACAUAGGACCAACAUCUGCAGUUCUCAGUGUCAGGGUGAAGAUCCAGGAGACAAGUCUCCACCAAUCAGGAGACAAAAGCACUGCCCCUGGGGCUUCUGAGGUGACCUCAUCCCCAACAUCUUCCAGGCGGUUUCGAACACGGCAGUGCCCUCCACCGCCGCCACUAACCUUGCAAGGAGUCAUGUGUUCCGGGCCCGGCGCCGCGGAACCAAUGGAGCUCGGGAUGACAUCACGGCAGGUGAUGUCAUCGCGAAGGGCCAUCAGUCGAUGAUCAUUCCAGUGGAAUGUCGGUGUUCCAAACAGGAGGGGAAUGUAAUCUGAUUGGUUCAUUUGCUCUGUCCCUGACAUUUGAGGGAAAACAAAUAGAAUGCCAUUUCAAACAAUGACCAAGUCUUUUGCUGACCUUCCAUCUGAGCCGGAUUCCAUGGGCAUUCUUCACAGAAUGGGAAAGGGCCAAAGAAAACAGCAUUCUUGGUAAAGUGUGUUGGAUUUAGAACAAUAAUCCCAAAUACAAACCAGGCCCCUACUGCUGGUCUUCAUCGUUAUACCAAGAAAGAAUUUGCAUUUUCCACAAAUUGGGUCACCAAAACCAUUCCUGAAAAUCCCUAAAUAGCAGCACAAUCUACAACUGUACACCGUAUUUAAGUUAUAUUUACUUUAAAAAAAAAGAGAACCCUUAAAGGCAUUACAUGUAGCAAUUUCACAUUAAGAUAUCUAAAAACGACUAGACCUGUGUUAUAUAUAUUUUUGAGUCGUGUACUUACAUUAUCUAAAUUGUUUCAGAAUAUGUUGACACCCAGAAAAAUAUGUAGAUAUAUUCUCGGUGAUGCCGGCAAUGCCGUUAGGCCCUUAAUCUUUACUAACUUCUGGGGAACACGUGAACACAGUAAUCCAGUAAAGACCUAAUGUAUUGAUACAGUAUUUCAAUCGCAAUCUCGCUCACUCAAAUGUGCUACUUUGAGGACGAGUGGUUCAUGCCAGGCACCAGCAAAUGCGGUGUUUCCAACACAUAAUCCACAUUUUCUUUUAUAAAACUGUUUUGAUUUGAUACACUAUUGGCCUACCUCUCUUUCUAUCUAGCUUUCCGGCUACCUGUGUGCACUCUUCAUGCACUAAUUGCUCAUGACCGGAGUCUUCUCCAGGGCUAGGCAGAGCUAUUGCCCAAGCUAAAGAGCUAGCCAUCUGUUUUGGGG
ensembl:lncRNA